UACGGAGGGGGCUAGCGUUGUCCGAAGUUACUGGGCGUAAAGGGCGCGUAGGCGGCUUGGCAAGUGGAUGGUGAAAUCCCUCGGCUUAACCGAGGAACUGCCGUCCAAACUGCUUCGCUUGAGACCGGGAGAGGUGAGUGGAAUUCCCAGUGUAGCGGUGAAAUGCGUAGAUAUUGGGAGGAACACCAGUGGCGAAGGCGGCUCACUGGACCGGUACUGACGCUGAUGCGCGAAAGCGUGGGGAGCAAACGGG
rnacentral:rRNA from 1 species